AGCCAAUCAGUGCUCCCUCCAGCCACAGACAGCCUCCAGCACCUCAGCACUGCAUUCCCUCGGGCUGUAACAGGCUGUUACAGUCCGAGGGAAGCAGAUGGCCAGCUAGUUGCCAGCAUUUGGGGGGGCCCAAGGGGGGGCACAGCAUCAUGUAGGGGGGGCCAUGGCCCCCUCUGGCCCCCCCCUAGCGACGCCACUGAAUAUAACAACAAACUCAUCUAGUGCUUGGCUGAGCCUGAUAGGAAUAUUAGUCCACAAUAUAGUUAUAUAGCAUCUCACAAAUUUAAUGCACAUGAAAAACAAUACUUAUGAUUGCACUUGAAUUAAUACAGCCUUAAAGUAUUAUUUAUUUUGUUCAUAUGAAUCUCUAAAUCUCAUUAAAACCACCCAUCUCUAUGGGCAGUUGGGUGGAUGGGGGGUGAAAUUUAAAUUUUCUAUUCAAUGCUUCUGUGUGAGAAGCAUUUGACUGCACUAACAAGGGCAAAAAGGGUUAUAAAUAUAGCUGCAGAAGCUAUUUGUGCAGCUAAUGAAAAUAUUUUUAGGGCUUCUGAAAUUUAUUUGCAAUAUUUAAGAGUUUCAAUUUAAUAACGAUUUACAUUUAUGGACUUGCAGCUCUGAUCCAGCUUUAGAUUGUUCUCUUUAUCAUAUUCCUUAUCUAAAAACUGCACAUACCUAUAUAAAGGUUUGAUACCAAAAUAUCCAAUAAUGUACCUUCCAAGAGACCAAGCAGGUAGAAAAAUGAUUUAUUUAAUAUUUUUUUUUUUUUUGAGGGGGGGGGGGGAGGUAUAAGUGUAAUGUUCUAUUUUUUAUAGUAUUUGGUAGAAAAUGUUAGAGGUUAAAUGUAGAGGUUAAUAGAGGUAUUUGUUUAUACAAGGUUGUGCUAUAAAGAUGAUUUAUAACUGGUACUUUCUUUGAUAACACCGAGCAACAGUUUUAUAAAUCAGAAAAAAUUAUGAUUAACUUAUUAAUUUUCCAAAAAGAGCACCCAACAAUUUCAAAGUAUUUUAAAACAAAUUGCAGCAUUUAAAAUCAUCAAAAUUAAUUUUAAGCGAUAGAUGCAGCACAUAAAACAAACAAAAAUCCAUUUGUAAGGAUGAAUCAAAGUGAGGUGAAUCAAUAAUGAUGGUGACGGCAUGUUUUAUGUCAUGGUGGGGUUAAAAACAUCCUUAUUUUACCCAUACUCAUAAGUAUCUAAAAUAAUUUCAUACUUGACAGAUACUGGUAACAACAGAUACUACUUGUCAAAUGUGUACAUUCACAGCCUUUCUUGUGCGUUUGCAGCAAGGAAAAAAAUCUGGAAAAUGUACCUGUGGCUUUAUUGUAGUGAUAGAUACCUCCAAACAAACUUCUCUUCACCACACCACUUUGAAUUUUCUGUGACACAUUUCAAGAUCACUUACAACAAGGUUAUACAGAUGCAUCCAUAUUAAGUGUAGCUAUUCACCAGGACGUAUUGACUAUAUUUCUGUGCCAAGUAAACAAAGUUCUAUUCAAGCCAGUAUUUGCAUUAACCCAUUAAUAAACAAACAUGGACUGUUGGACACAAAGUAUGGUUACAUCUGUACAAGAAGGAGUUUAUAUAGUUGAGAGCCAGGAAGAAGUGCUGCACUUUGCAUUUUGUUACUUAUCCUUCUGACUUAGAACAUACAUGGCAAGUCGGACAAAGUGUAAAACAACAUUAAUAUAGAAUAAUAAUUUGCUUUAAAAAUGUCACUCUAAGCACCAUGGACACUACAGGUUAUUACAGUGGUUAUGAGACAAAGAGUCUUGGGUGUGAUAUUUUGUCUAAGUACUUUUGAGAAGUUUCCCAAAUAAAUGAGUCUUUUUCAGCCCCCAAAAAACAAGACCUUGUAUACUGCUCAGAUAAUAUGAAAAUUUCCUUUUUGCAUCAUCUAUUCAAAGCAGUUUAAUCUGGGAUUGCUCGCUUAAACAGUCACCACUCUUGCCGUCCACUGGAUAACUUAGGCUGGAUAAUGACAAAAUGAAGCAGAGGGCCAAGCUUGGUGUGCAGGGAGAUCCCCAGUUUUGUCAAUGUGCUUGAAAAUGUUUGACAAAAAAAUGGCAAAGAUGCGACCAAAAGCUCCUUACACCAUAACUACACAAUAAGCUGUGGUGUUUAUGGUAUUUAGAGUGUUCCUUUAAGCACUUUGUAUGCAACUGGAACAUUCUAAAUGUAUUGAAGAUUUGCAUUUGUAAAUUCAUAAGCUACAUUGCCAUAAUAAUACUGUUUUUUUUUUCAAAGGGUAGAAUAGUUUAAUAAAAAUGAAGGGAAACUUUAAUUUCAGACGGAAAAGACAAGUCAUUCCUACAUGAAUGGACACGUUGGUGGAAUUACAAUAGUUCAUAUAUGCACAAUGGUGACAAGGUCAUCAUAUAAAAAGACAAAACAGACAUUAAAGCCUUUGGUACAGUACACUUAAAUUAAUGCAGCACAUAAGUUGACAAAACCGAUAACCUCAGUAACCCAAUGAAACAUGACGUUCAUAGUGAAAUGUGAGACUGGACAAUGGUACAUCAAUAAAUGCUGAGCUUUUAACUUUUACAAACUAACACUUAAUUCACAUUUUCUCAGAGCUAUCACAAAACCAAUUAGCAGCGCUCAGACUAGUAAUCAAUUUUACUUUUCACAAAUGGAAACGAUCACAAAAAAUAUUUUUGCAUCUAGGUUUUGUCUUUUUCAACUAAGAUGUAUUGCACUGAGUCUGGGUAUGCUUCAGUUCCAAAACAGAAUUCCUUGAACAUAAUGCACUUGUGUAGAACAAAAAAUAAAACCUAAUAAAAUAAAAUUGUAUAAAAAUAGAAAACAUAUUACUAAGAGACCAAAACUUCCAUUGGUCAGCAGUCAACAUACUGCAAUAUAUUUUGAUGCAGAUUUUUAACUCCAUACAACGGUGUAGCUCUACCAUUUUUGAGGCUUCUUCUUUUAUGUGGAUUUCAUUGUAGAGUAACAAAUUCCCUGCAUUUUUCGAACCAACAUAGACUAAGGCAAAAACAAUCUUGAUGAACUACACAAAAUGCAGGCCUUUAGAAAUCUUCUUUUCCUGAAAAA